CAAGUCGAACGGGGUGAGGGGGCAACUCUUCAUUCAGUGGCGAACGGGUGAGUAAUGCAUCGGAACGUGUCCCGUAGUGGGGGAUAACCCGGCGAAAGCCGUGCUAAUACCGCAUACGCUCUACGGAGGAAAGCAGGGGACCCGCAAGGGCCUUGUGCUAGGGGGGCGGCCGAUGUCCGAUUAGCUUGUUGGUGGGGUAAUGGCCCACCAAGGCUGCGAUCGGUAGCUGGUCUGAGAGGAUGAUCAGCCACACUGGGACUGAGACACGGCCCAGACUCCUACGGGAGGCAGCAGUGGGGAAUUUUGGACAAUGGGGGCAACCCUGAUCCAGCCAUGCCGCGUGCGGGAAGAAGGCCUUCGGGUUGUAAACCGCUUUUAGCCGGGACGAAAGCUGCACGGAUAACACCCGUGCGGGUUGACGGUACCGGCGGAAUAAGCACCGGCUAACUACGUGCCAGCAGCCGCGGUAAUACGUAGGGUGCGAGCGUUAAUCGGAAUUACUGGGCGUAAAGCGUGCGCAGGCGGUUCGUUGUGUCGGCGGUGAGAGCCCCGGGCUCAACCUGGGAAUGGCCGUUGAAACUGGCGAACUGGAGUGUGGCAGAGGGGGGUGGAAUUCCGCGUGUAGCAGUGAAAUGCGUAGAGAUGCGGAGGAACACCGAUGGCGAAGGCAGCCCCCUGGGCUAACACUGACGCUCAGGCACGAAAGCGUGGGGAGCAAACAGG
rnacentral:rRNA from 1 species